rnacentral:rRNA from 1 species
CUCAGAUUGAACGCUGGCGGCAUGCCUUACACAUGCAAGUCGAACGGCAGCACGGGAGCUUGCUCCUGGUGGCGAGUGGCGAACGGGUGAGUAAUACAUCGGAACGUACCCUGAAGUGGGGGAUAACGUAGCGAAAGUUACGCUAAUACCGCAUAUUCUGUGAGCAGGAAAGAGGGGGAUCGCAAGACCUCUUGCUUUAGGAGCGGCCGAUGUCGGAUUAGCUAGUUGGUGAGGUAAAGGCUCACCAAGGCGACGAUCCGUAGCGGGUCUGAGAGGAUGAUCCGCCACACUGGGACUGAGACACGGCCCAGACUCCUACGGGAGGCAGCAGUGGGGAAUUUUGGACAAUGGGCGCAAGCCUGAUCCAGCCAUGCCGCGUGAGUGAAGAAGGCCUUCGGGUUGUAAAGCUCUUUCGGUGGGGAAGAAAUUGCUUCGGCUAAUACCUGGAGUAGAUGACGGUACCCGCAUAAGAAGCACCGGCUAACUACGUG